GUGCUGCUGCUGCUGCGGGCUCCUGCCUGGCCCACAUCCCACAGCCCCCUGCCCACAGCCCCCUGCUCACGGAGCCAGCGCCGACAGCCUCGCCGUGCCCCCACGCCGCUCGGCGCUUCGCCCCAGCCACAAAGCAGUUAACAUGUGUUGAUCGCAGCGGCGUGCUCGGCUCCGUGCAGCUCUCGCAGGCAGCGCGAUCCUCCCCGGUCUCCAGGGAUCUCGUGGCAUUUUGCCCAGAUGGCAUCGGUCUGUGUCUCAAGGACAUAACGCAGCGCCUUCGCAGCCUCGCAGCAGCGCCGCGGUGACAGAUGAAGCCGGGGCGCUGCUUCGUCUCCGCCGAGAGGGAAGAGAAGCUCCGCGCCAUGCCCGGGCUGCAGCCGGCCGCUCCCUUUCGCCUCCGUGAAUGACCGGUGCCCGGUGCCCGCCCGGGUUGCAGCGUGUGGGGCAGCGCUGGCCGAGCACGAGGCCCCAACCAUCCCCGCGGAGCAGCGGGCGCUCGGCCCUGUCCCCCCCCGCCGGCACUGCAGGUCCAAGAAGAGUCACCACCCUUUAAGUUCCAAGAAGAGGCCUUCCAAUCUCCGGUGCAAGAAGAAUUCGAACAGUAAGGCAGCGUUUUUCUUUCUGAGCUGGUGGAUUGUAUUUUACUCCGGCCAUUUCUUUCCUUCUUGCUGUGUGUUCGAUCACAGGGGUUUGUUUCUUUGCUUUUUGAUGUAGCUCCGCUCUGGCAGUCACACAAACAAUUGUGUCUGGGGUGGGUAUUGUCCUGUCUGCUCAUGCUGAAGUCCUUCCAGCAGUGCUUCAUGCCCUUGAGUUGCAGUUUUCCCACCCAGCUGCCCUGCAGGGUACUCCUCCUGGUCCCUGGGACCUCUCCUUGGCACCGGGAUGCACGAAGGGAGCUAACCCAGCGGGCAGUGCUGCACUGUGCUCGGGCAAAGCGUGUUGCAGCACCACACGUGGGUCAUUGCGAGGAUACCAUCCCCAUCUGCAUCCCCAGCCCUGCCCAGAGCUCAGCAUGGAGCAAAUCCUUCCCAGGAUGACCUGGACAGCACUGCCCUGGACUGCGGCCGAGAGCCAGGGAGGAGCCUCCUUGGUUCUGCAUUUAGCUCCCAGGAUUCACCCUCCUCUAGGACAAGCCCAUCACUGAAAAUGCCUUUAGAAGCUCCAGUCACAGUCAAAAUUAAAUCAGAAAAUGAACUAUUACUCAAAGUGACUUGGAGUUGCCCAAGAUUUAUACGCUUUGGGCAGCUCGAGCUCCAUUUGCUGGAUACCUCGGAAGCCGCACCACUAGCGCACCGUGACCAUUUGCAAUUUCACACCGCUAUAAGCUCGCUCUCAUUGAGAUUGGGGAGAUGAAAAAUGUCUUUAUUAAGGGAAGUCACAGGUCCCCGAUUGGCUGCUAAAUAUGUUUUAAUGUGUGGGGUGAGGGGUGCGGGGCCGGGGGUGGCACGGUGGUGACUGAGCUCCUGUGAGAGCCAGGCAGGGAAACUCCAGACAAAGGAUUUAGCUGUGUUUUUUUUUUUGGCUGCUUGGACCAUCUCGAGAUGGUGGAUGGCUCUUGCUCCAGGGCAGCAUGGGGCCAUGCACCCUGGCACAGGUUGUGAUUGCGCAUGCCCCCACCCAUGUGGUGCUGCAGGUCCUCACACUGCUGCCUUUUGCUGCCCAUUUGCUCCUUGACCAUAAACCUGUGGCAGACUCAUUGCCAUGUUUCCUCCUGCCCCCCUGCCCCAGCACUCAUGGAGCUGUUGUGCAGGGAGCUCUCACCACGCUCCUUGCAGUGCCGGGUGGUAACUCCUGGGGAGUGGCUGUGCACAGACACCCCUGUGUUCGCAAGCGCAUUGUGCUCUAACAGUUCUCCCUAUUAAGUAUUCCAUGUGCCCCUACCAGUGAGUGUGUCCUGGUCACCUCCCCGAGUCAUCAGGAAUCAUGCACUGAACCUGGAGCAAAGUCAAGCGCGGAGCCUCCUCCCAGCUCAUCCAGCAACACGUUCACAAAAGGCCCUGUUAUUAUCCCCACAUCCACACUCUCUAACCCUGUAAUUAGAUGCUUAGGCUAUGAUUGCCCCAUUGUCCGCUGGAUGGGUUUAAUCAUUCUU